GGAAGGAGAAAGGGUGGGGGCGAGAACCGAGGCUUGUGGAGGGAAGGACUAGGUCUCUGAAGACAGCCGAGCUCCUCUUCCACUCGGACAAGAGAAACAUGGGAGGGUGUAGAAGGUUCUCACUCAUCUCUCGUGAAGCUGAGAGGCAUCGGGAAGGCCACCCAUCCUUCUGGGACCACCAUCUCUGGUUUUAACAUCUCCAUUGUUUCUCUCUCAGCAGGAGGAGCUCUUCUCCUGGAACUUGAGUGCCAUUUCUUUCCUAGUUUCUGGCCCAAACCUUAUGGAGGAGGAGACACUGUUGGAAAUGAAAUAACACAUUGGCGGGAUCUCAGGACGCUUAGCCACCCUAUUGCUCUUGGCUGUCAGGUCAGAGGUCAGGAACUGCAUCCAGAGAACUGAGCUGGAGCUGUCUGAGGGAGUGGCAGACCUGGAACUGGGCAUCUUAGCAGCCCGUGGCCACCCAGGGCCAGUAAGCAGUGUACUCUCCAGGCCAGUGUAGGCACCGCCCCUGCUCUCUUACCCAGAUAGUGCCGAGGCCCUCUGCAGUUUCCACUGGGCACGUCAAGAAUGCAAGCUCCUGACCACCCUUUCCUGGGCCGUUUCUCAAGGCUGUGUUUGCAACUAGCAAUCGUGAGGGAUGAGGGAUGGAAAACACUCCUUGUCUCUGGCCCAGGGAUGUUGCAUCCCCUCCCGGCAUCCACACAGCAGUAACAGAUUAACUGACUUCCUUGCAAGCGAGGUUAAAAUGUGGACUCUGACACAGGGCUCUGGGGACCUGUUAGCCAAGAGGAGAACCUGCGGGGGUUUGUCCUUUGAAAGAUUUUUAUUUUGAAGAUGUGUCUAUCAGCACCUUAGGAGAGAGGUAAGAAAAAUGAAUCCACUGGAACCAGUCAACGGUCUAUGCCACCCUUGUCUGAAAUCUUCCCGCCCCUACCAGCGCACUCAGACCCCUCCGGCAUCGAUACACACUUGGCUGGACUUUGUUGCCACAGGCAGGGGACCAGGUGUUGCCGCCUCUGCCUUACACGGUGCCACUGGCCUUGGGGAGAGGGAAGGUGGGAGCAAUGUGCAUAGCCCAGCAGACAGCCUGGAGUGUCCCCAGUGGCUCAAAUUUCAGGGAAUUUCUAUUUUGGUUCAGUUGUUUUAUGUCAGUGACCUUCGGCAUUGGUAAAGACUAGCCAAUGUGCUUGGAAUCACAAAGGCUAGGGUCUUCAGUUUCUGUGUGAUUUGUUGUGAGACGCCUCCAAGCCUUUCAGAAAAGACCUAAGAUUACAAACAAGCAAACAGACAGUGCCAGGAAGGUAACAGGCUCGUGUUGGGCCCCUCUGGGAUCAAAGGAGGAAGAAAACAGGUUUUCACAGACCGAAGUGAUAUGCUUCUUGGAAGACCUGUGUCAACAGCUUCCAGAAAUGCACAGUGGAAAGAAGGGGCCUUCCUGUCUGCCAGAUCCUGGGCAGAUGCCCAGUGGCCCAGCUUCUGCCGUACAGUCUUUCCAGUCCUAUCAGCUGCCUGAUGGAGAAAAGCAGAUCAUCUUGCAGGAGACUCUCCCUUGCACGGUCCACAGCAAUGGAGCCCAGGGACCAAGCAUGAGGAUCCCUGAAGCUGCGAGCAAAGUAAAUCUUUCCUCCUUUCCGUCGUUUGCCUCGGAUUAUUUUCUUACAGCAAUGGAAGGCUAACAGGAAAUGGGUUUUUAAAGGUGUGGUCAUCAGAUUUCAUAUGCAAAUGAGGGCUCCGCUGGGAAUUGUUCUAGAGGUGAUUCAUAUUACAUUGUGAUGAAGAACUCAUUAAUGUGGUGGAGCAAUCAUUCCAAUCAUUCAUGAUGUGGUACGGCCAUUCGUAGCUACUGGAAUACCGGCCAGGUUUAUAACGAAAAUGGAAAGCAAGAAGCAGAGUGGGAAGAUUUGAUUUUGCAGCUUAGACAGAAAGUUGGGGCCAAGGAAGGUGGUGUUGCUGAAGAGAUUAGCAUCACUGAAAAGAAGCCAGGAGCUUUGGGCUAGGACAAUGGGGAGCAUGCUCCGAGGCCCCUCUGGGAUUGGCCAGAUGCCACCUGUCAGUCUCAAGGCUGGGAAGGCACGCAUUUGUUGGAAAGGCUUUGCUUCGAGGGGUGAAUAAUGCCGAGAGCCCGGCUCACCUGGGGCUGACCUGGGUUGGCGCUAAGAGUCACUUCACCAGACUCAGGCACACAGGAACCGGGUGGGCACACUGACUGCUUGAGCUGCCGGCGGACUUUGACAAGGCUCACACGGCUCUAGUUUCAUGGAUAUGCAAAAUGCAAGAGCUGAGCAUAAGAGAUUCUCACCCAGUUGCCACAGGAAAGCUUGGAGCCUCUGAGAAGACAUCACAUGGGAGCUGUGAGAGUGGAGACCCCAGGGAGUUAGAGAUGCAGGGACACGCUGAGGAAAGGUACCAGCAAUGAGCAGAGUGAGCCCAGGGGUAGCCAUGUGGGUUGAAGCCCAAGGUCAUAGUGAUGACACCGCCACAUUCCUGUGGAGGUACCGUCUACCCGCACAUGCCUCAGAUGCUAGGCGCGGAGAAUUGUCUUGCUGGGUUUGGUUUUGCUUUCUUCUGCUUCCCUUUGAUUCACCCCAAUUCCCUCCUUUGGGAUGGAAAACUUUAUUCUAUGCCAUUUUGUGCUGGAAGUACACAAAUGGAUUUUUUUGUUUUGUUUUUGUUUUUCGAGACAGGGUUUCUCUGUGUAGCCCUGGCU